AUGCCCUACCAAUACCCAGCGCUGACCCCCGAGUAGAAGAAGGAGCUGUCUGACAUCGCUCACCGCAUUGUGGCCCUAGGCAAGGGCAUCCUGGCUGCAGAUGAGUCCACUGGGAGCUCUGCCAAGCGGCUGCAGUCAAUUGGCACCGAGAACACUGAGGGGAAGCGGUGCUUCUACCACCAGCUGCUGCUGAGAGCUGAUAACCGCAUGAACCCCUGCAUCGGGGGCGUCAUUCUCUUCCACGAGACACUCUACCAGAAGGGGGAUGAUGGGUGUCCCUUCCCCCAAGUUAUCAAAUCCAAGGGCGGUGUUGUGGACAUCAAGGUAGACAAGGGCGUGGUCCCCCUGGCAGGGACAAAUGUAAGACCACCACCCAAGGGCUGGAUGGGCUGAGCGCUGUGCCCAGUACAAGACGGAUGGCGCUGACUUCGCCAAGUGGCAUUGUGUGCUGGAGACUGGGGAACACACCCCCUCAACCCUCGCCAUCAUGGAAAAUGCCAACGUCCUGGCCCGUUAUGCCAGCAUCUACCAGCAAAAUGGCAUUGUGCCCAUUGUGGAGCCUGAAAUCCUCCCUGAUGGGGACCAUGACUUGAAGCGCUGUCAGUAUGUGACCGAGAAGGUGCUGGCUGCUGUCUACAAGGCUCUGAGAGACCACCACAUCUACCUGGAAGGCACCUUGCUGAAGCCCAACAUGGUUACGCCAGGCCACACCUGAUCACAGAAGUUUUCUC